rnacentral:rRNA from 1 species
UGGUCUUGACAUCCACAGAACUUUCCAGAGAUGGAUUGGUGCCUUCGGGAACUGUGAGACAGGUGCUGCAUGGCUGUCGUCAGCUCGUGUUGUGAAAUGUUGGGUUAAGUCCCGCAACGAGCGCAACCCUUAUCCUUUGUUGCCAGCGGUCCGGCCGGGAACUCAAAGGAGACUGCCAGUGAUAAACUGGAGGAAGGUGGGGAUGACGUCAAGUCAUCAUGGCCCUUACGACCAGGGCUACACACGUGCUACAAUGGCGCAUACAAAGAGAAGCAAUCUCGCGAGAGCUAGCGGACCUCAUAAAGUGCGUCGUAGUCCGGAUUGGAGUCUGCAACUCGACUCCAUGAAGUCGGAAUCGCUAGUAAUCGUGAAUCAGAAUGUCACGGUGAAUACGUUCCCGGGCCUU